AUUGAACGCUGGCGGCAUGCCUUACACAUGCAAGUCGAACGGUAACAGGUCUUCGGAUGCUGACGAGUGGCGAACGGGUGAGUAAUACAUCGGAACGUGCCCAGACGUGGGGGAUAACGAGGCGAAAGCUUUGCUAAUACAGCAUACGAUCUAAGGAUGAAAGCAGGGGACCGCAAGGCCUUGCGCGGUUGGAGCGGCCGGUGGCCGAGUAGGUAGUUGGUGGGAUAAAAGCUUACCAAGCCGACGAUCUGUAGCUGGUCUGAGAGGACGACCAGCGACACUGGGACUGAGACACGGCCCAGACUCCUACGGGAGGCAGCAGUGGGGAAUUUUGGACAAUGGGCGAAAGCCUGAUCCAGCAAUGCCGCGUGCAGGAUGAAGGCCUUCGGGUUGUGAACUGCUUUUGUACGGAACGAAAAGGCUCUGGCUAAUACCUGGGGCACAUGACGGUACCGGAAGAAUAAGCACCGGCUAACUACGUG
rnacentral:rRNA from 1 species